GAGGAGGAACCCGAAAAUCCUUUAAAUAGAGUAGGGA
ncrna:unclassified sequences DTF805b RNA